GACGAACGCUGGCAGCAUGCUUAACACAUGCAAGUCGAAUGGAAUGGGCGUUCUUAACUGAGGUUCGGGAGGCGCAAACGUGAGUAUAGCGUGUAGAUCUCGUCCCCUAGAUAUGGGGAUAACUUGGAAAAGAUUGCUCUAAUAUCGUAUUGUGGCUCCAGCUCCUUCUAUAGUUUUGAAAGGUAUGAGCGCUGUGAGAGAGCUUCGCGUCCCAUUAGCUAGUUGGUGAGGUAACGGCUCACCAAGGCGAUGAUGGGUAGCCGGCCUGAGAGGGUGAUCGGCCACAAGGGGACGGGGACACGGCCAUUACUCCAACGGGAGGCAGCGGUGGGGAAUAUGCGACAAUGGACCGAGAGUCUGGCCGAGACAUUCUGUGUGCACGAUGAAGUUUUUCGGAAUGUAAAGUGCUUUCAGUUGAGAAGAAACGAGUGACGGUACCAACAGAAGAAGUGACGGCUAAAUACGUG
rnacentral:rRNA from 1 species